rnacentral:rRNA from 1 species
GACGAACGCUGGCGGCGUGCUUAACACAUGCAAGUCGAGCGGUAAGGCCCUUUCGGGGGUACACGAGCGGCGAACGGGUGAGUAACACGUGGGUGACCUGCCCUCAGCUCUGGGAUAAGCCUGGGAAACCGGGUCUAAUACCGGAUAUGACUCCAUGACGCAUGUUGUGGGGUGGAAAGCCUUGUGCGGCUGAGGAUGGGCCCGCGGCCUAUCAGCUUGUUGGUGGGGGAUGGCCUACCAAGGCGACGGCGGGUAGCCGGCCUGAGAGGGCGACCGGCCACACUGGGACUGAGACACGGCCCAGACUCCUACGGGAGGCAGCAGUGGGGAAUCUUGCGCAAUGGGCGAAAGCCUGACGCAGCGACGCCGCGUGA